rnacentral:rRNA from 1 species
GACGAACGCUUGCGGCGUGCUUAACACAUGCAAGUCGAACGGAAAGGCCCUGCUUUUGUGGGGUGCUCGAGUGGCGAACGGGUGAGUAACACGCGAGUAACCUGCCCUUGACUUUGGGAUAACUUCAGGAAACUGGGGCUAAUACCGGAUAGGAGCUCCUGCUGCAUGGUGGGGGUUGGAAAGUUUCGGCGGUUGGGGAUGGACUCGCGGCUUAUCAGCUUGUUGGGGGGGUAGUGGCUUACCAAGGCUUUGACGGGUAGCCGGCCUGAGAGGGUGACCGGCCACAUUGGGACUGAGAUACGGCCCAGACUCCUACGGGAGGCAGCAGUGGGGAAUAUUGCGCAAUGGGCGGAAGCCUGAUGCAGCAACGCCGCGUGCGGGAUGACGGCCUUCGGGUUGUAAACCGCUUUCGCCUGUGACGAAGCGUGAGUGACGGUAAUGGGUAAAGAAGCACCGGCUAACUACGUGCCAGCAGCCGCGGUGAUACGUAGGGUGCGAGCGUUGUCCGGAUUUAUUGGGCGUAAAGGGCUCGUAGGUGGUUGAUCGCGUCGGAAGUGUAAUCUUGGGGCUUAACCCUGAGCGUGCUUUCGAUACGGGUUGACUUGAGGAAGGUAGGGGAGAAUGGAAUUCCUGGUGGAGCGGUGGAAUGCGCAGAUAUCAGGAGGAACACCAGUGGCGAAGGCGGUUCUCUGGGCCUUUCCUGACGCUGAGGAGCGAAAGCGUGGGGAGCGAACAGGCUUAGAUACCCUGGUAGUCCACGCUGUAAACGGUGGGUACUAGGUGUGGGGUCCAUUCCACGGGUUCCGUGCCGUAGCUAACGCUUUAAGUACCCCGCCUGGGGAGUACGGCCGCAAGGCUAAAACUCAAAGGAAUUGACGGGGCCCCGCACAAGCGGCGGAGCAUGCGGAUUAAUUCGAUGCAACGCGUAGAACCUUACCUGGGUUUGACAUGGAUCGGGAGUGCUCAGAGAUGGGUGUGCCUCUUUUGGGGUCGGUUCACAGGUGGUGCAUGGCUGUCGUCAGCUCGUGUCGUGAGAUGUUGGGUUAAGUCCCGCAACGAGCGCAACCCUUGUUCACUGUUGCCAGCACGUUAUGGUGGGGACUCAGUGGAGACCGCCGGGGUCAACUCGGUGGAAGGUGGGGAUGACGUCAAGUCAUCAUGCCCCUUAUGUCCAGGGCUUCACGCAUGCUACAAUGGCUGGUACAGAGAGUGGCGAGCCUGUGAGGGUGAGCGAAUCUCGGAAAGCCGGUCUCAGUUCGGAUUGGGGUCUGCAACUCGACCUCAUGAAGUCGGAGUCGCUAGUAAUCGCAGAUCAGCAACGCUGCGGUGAAUACGUUCCCGGGGCU